rnacentral:rRNA from 1 species
GACGAACGCUGGCGGCGUGCUUAACACAUGCAAGUCGAACGGAAAGGCCCUGCUUUUGUGGGGUGCUCGAGUGGCGAACGGGUGAGUGAAACGCGAGUAUCCUGUCCUUGACUUUGGGAUAACAUCAGGAAACUGGGGCUCUUACCGGAUAGGAGCUCCUGCUGCGUGGUGUGGGAUGGAGAGUUUCGGCGGUUGGGGAUGGUCUCGCAGCUUAUCGGCUUGUUGGUGGAGUAGUUGCUUACCAAGCCUUCGACGGAUAGCCGGCAUGAGAGAGUUACCGGCGACAUGGGGACUGAGGUACGGCGCAGUAGCGUACGGGAGGCAGUAGUCGGGAAUCUUGCGCAAUGGGGGCAAGUCAGAGGCAGCGACGCUGCGUGCGGAAUGCCGUCCUUCGGGUUGUAAACCGCUUUGGCCGGAGACGAAGAGUGAGUGACGGUAAUUGGUAAGAAAGCACCGGCUAACUACGUG